UCUGCUACUUCUUAGGUGCUGUGAAGUUGCUAAUGUUCACGCUUCAAGGAUUGUCAGCUACACCGCUGUAGAAUCACCAAACAAUGCCUCCAAAUCCCUCAAGAAGUCAGCCAUACAGCCUUCUAACUUUAGGAGCAUCUCAUGUUGACUUUGUCAAAUAUCUCAGGAUCCAUCACGAACCACAGAUGAACUAGGGCCCCGAGCUUCAACAUCAGAGAGGGAGAUGUUUCCCUGCAUUUGGUUCUCAAACACACACCUCUACAGACGUGGCUGAAUCCCCUCUUCCAUCCCUCUAGGGAAGAGAUGGCCUGAUACGGAGUCUGGCUAGAGUACUGAAAAUUUAUCAUAAUGUUUAUACUUCAUCGUCUUCUAUUCUUGUGCCUUCUAG
rnacentral:lncRNA from 1 species